rnacentral:rRNA from 1 species
GGUUAAGCGACUAAGCGUACACGGUGGAUGCCCUGGCAGUCAGAGGCGAUGAAGGACGUGCUAAUCUGCGAUAAGCGUCGGUAAGGUGAUAUGAACCGUUAUAACCGGCGAUUUCCGAAUGGGGAAACCCAGUGUGAUUCGUCACACUAUCAUUAACUGAAUCCAUAGGUUAAUGAGGCGAACCGGGGGAACUGAAACAUCUAAGUACCCCGAGGAAAAGAAAUCAACCGAGAUUCCCCCAGUAGCGGCGAGCGAACGGGGAGCAGCCCAGAGCCUGAAUCAGUGUGUGUGUUAGUGGAAGCGUCUGGAAAGGCGUGCGAUACAGGGUGACAGCCCCGUACACAAAAAUGCACAUGCUGUGAGCUCGAUGAGUAGGGCGGGACACGUGGUAUCCUGUCUGAAUAUGGGGGGACCAUCCUCCAAGGCUAAAUACUCCUGACUGACCGAUAGUGAACCAGUACCGUGAGGGAAAGGCGAAAAGAACCCCGGCGAGGGGAGUGAAAAAGAACCUGAAACCGUGUACGUACAAGCAGUGGGAGCACAGAGCAAUCUUUGUGACUGCGUACCUUUUGUAUAAUGGGUCAGCGACUUAUAUUCUGUAGCAAGGUUAACCGAAUAGGGGAGCCGAAGGGAAACCGAGUCUUAACUGGGCGUUAAGUUGCAGGGUAUAGACCCGAAACCCGGUGAUCUAGCCAUGGGCAGGUUGAAGGUUGGGUAACACUAACUGGAGGACCGAACCGACUAAUGUUGAAAAAUUAGCGGAUGACUUGUGGCUGGGGGUGAAAGGCCAAUCAAACCGGGAGAUAGCUGGUUCUCCCCGAAAGCUAUUUAGGUAGCGCCUCGUGAAUUCAUCUCCGGGGGUAGAGCACUGUUUCGGCAAGGGGGUCAUCCCGACUUACCAACCCGAUGCAAACUGCGAAUACCGGAGAAUGUUAUCACGGGAGACACACGGCGGGUGCUAACGUCCGUCGUGAAGAGGGAAACAACCCAGACCGCCAGCUAAGGUCCCAAAGUCAUGGUUAAGUGGGAAACGAUGUGGGAAGGCCCAGACAGCCAGGAUGUUGGCUUAGAAGCAGCCAUCAUUUAAAGAAAGCGUAAUAGCUCACUGGUCGAGUCGGCCUGCGCGGAAGAUGUAACGGGGCUAAACCAUGCACCGAAGCUGCGGCAGCGACGCUUAUGCGUUGUUGGGUAGGGGAGCGUUCUGUAAGCCUGCGAAGGUGUGCUGUGAGGCAUGCUGGAGGUAUCAGAAGUGCGAAUGCUGACAUAAGUAACGAUAAAGCGGGUGAAAAGCCCGCUCGCCGGAAGACCAAGGGUUCCUGUCCAACGUUAAUCGGGGCAGGGUGAGUCGACCCCUAAGGCGAGGCCGAAAGGCGUAGUCGAUGGGAAACAGGUUAAUAUUCCUGUACUUGGUGUUACUGCGAAGGGGGGACGGAGAAGGCUAUGUUGGCCGGGCGACGGUUGUCCCGGUUUAAGCGUGUAGGCUGGUUUUCCAGGCAAAUCCGGAAAACUAAGGCUGAGGCGUGAUGACGAGGCACUACGGUGCUGAAGCAACAAAUGCCCUGCUUCCAGGAAAAGCCUCUAAGCAUCAGGUAACAUCAAAUCGUACCCCAAACCGACACAGGUGGUCAGGUAGAGAAUACCAAGGCGCUUGAGAGAACUCGGGUGAAGGAACUAGGCAAAAUGGUGCCGUAACUUCGGGAGAAGGCACGCUGAUAUGUAGGUGAAGUCCCUCGCGGAUGGAGCUGAAAUCAGUCGAAGAUACCAGCUGGCUGCAACUGUUUAUUAAAAACACAGCACUGUGCAAACACGAAAGUGGACGUAUACGGUGUGACGCCUGCCCGGUGCCGGAAGGUUAAUUGAUGGGGUUAGCGCAAGCGAAGCUCUUGAUCGAAGCCCCGGUAAACGGCGGCCGUAACUAUAACGGUCCUAAGGUAGCGAAAUUCCUUGUCGGGUAAGUUCCGACCUGCACGAAUGGCGUAAUGAUGGCCAGGCUGUCUCCACCCGAGACUCAGUGAAAUUGAACUCGCUGUGAAGAUGCAGUGUACCCGCGGCAAGACGGAAAGACCCCGUGAACCUUUACUAUAGCUUGACACUGAACAUUGAGCCUUGAUGUGUAGGAUAGGUGGGAGGCUUUGAAGUGUGGACGCCAGUCUGCAUGGAGCCGACCUUGAAAUACCACCCUUUAAUGUUUGAUGUUCUAACGUUGACCCGUGAUCCGGGUUGCGGACAGUGUCUGGUGGGUAGUUUGACUGGGGCGGUCUCCUCCUAAAGAGUAACGGAGGAGCACGAAGGUUGGCUAAUCCUGGUCGGACAUCAGGAGGUUAGUGCAAUGGCAUAAGCCAGCUUGACUGCGAGCGUGACGGCGCGAGCAGGUGCGAAAGCAGGUCAUAGUGAUCCGGUGGUUCUGAAUGGAAGGGCCAUCGCUCAACGGAUAAAAGGUACUCCGGGGAUAACAGGCUGAUACCGCCCAAGAGUUCAUAUCGACGGCGGUGUUUGGCACCUCGAUGUCGGCUCAUCACAUCCUGGGGCUGAAGUAGGUCCCAAGGGUAUGGCUGUUCGCCAUUUAAAGUGGUACGCGAGCUGGGUUUAGAACGUCGUGAGACAGUUCGGUCCCUAUCUGCCGUGGGCGCUGGAGAACUGAGGGGGGCUGCUCCUAGUACGAGAGGACCGGAGUGGACGCAUCACUGGUGUUCGGGUUGUCAUGCCAAUGGCACUGCCCGGUAGCUAAAUGCGGAAGAGAUAAGUGCUGAAAGCAUCUAAGCACGAAACUUGCCCCGAGAUGAGUUCUCCCUGACUCCUUGAGAGUCCUGAAGGAACGUUGAAGACGACGACGUUGAUAGGCCGGGUGUGUAAGCGCAGCGAUGCGUUGAGCUAACCGGUACUAAUGAACCGUGAGGCUUAACCUU